rnacentral:rRNA from 1 species
GACGAACGCUGGCGGCGUGCUUAACACAUGCGAGUCGAACGGAAAGGCCCUUCUUUUGUGGGGUGCUCGAGUGGCGAACGGGUGAGUAACACGUGAGUAACCUUCCCUUGACUUUGGGAUAACUUCAGGAAACUGGGGCUAAUACCGGAUAGGAGCUCCUGCUGCAUGGUGGGGGUUGGAGAGUUUCGGCGGUUGGGGAUGGACUCGCGGCUUAUCAGCUUGUUGGUGGGGUAGUGGCUUACCAAGGCUUUGACGGGUAGCCGGCCUGAGAGGGUGACCGGCGACAUUGGGACUGAGAGACGGACCAGACUCCUACGGGAGGCAGCAGUGGGGAAUAUUGCACAAUGGGCGGAAGCCUGAUGCAGCAACGCCGCGUGCGGGAUGAAGGCCUUCGGGUUGUAAACCGCUUUCGCCUGUGACGAAGCGUGAGUGACGGUAAUGGGUAAAGAAGCACCGGCUAACUACGUG